CCCCAGGGCCGGAAUGAGUGAUUUUUCUUAGAAGCAGAGUUGGAGCCACCGAGGAAGCACAGGCUCCAGUUGUGGUGGGUUGUGUCAUCCCACGAUAUCGCUGUUGCUGAGUCCCCAUCGCCUCUGUGUUGUGGAGCAGUUAGAGGCACACAGCAGUGUCUGUGAGUGGCUCUGCGUGAAGGACUGUUUUCUAGGUGAGAGGCACAUCUCAGCACAGCUGACUGAUCAGACUCAGCAAUUCCAUUCUGCAUCUGCUCUGGACACCCCAGGACCACCAGGACAACCCCAUCAGGGCCCUGUCACCAGGUCCAGUCUGGCUCCAUGAUACCAAGACGCAGGUCCAGAGACAACCGCCCUGCAUGGUGCCUGCAUCUGACCCCCCUUGGUGGGUAGUGAUGAGCAAACAUGGAAGAAGCCAGGGCAGCACACGGACAGCUGCCCUGCAGCCCCAGAUGGCACCUGGCCCUUGGGACGUCAUUCUCAAAGGGGAAGCUGGAAACUUUGAUGUACCUGGAGGGAAGGGUAAACGUGGCCUCCCAACAACCCUAGCAGCCAGCAGCAUGCCAUACAUCUUCUCACCCAACCUGUGGGACAGAGGCCCCCUCCUGGGGAACAAGAUCCAUAUCUAAAGGGUCUUGACCCAGUCGGGCCUCAUCCUGGGCCCUGGGAGGGGAGAGGCACUGUGGGCCUCCAGCAGCAGCCAGGAUUACCACCCAGGGGACUCAGCCUUCUGUGGCCCUGGCCAGACUUAGAAUUUGGCACAAGACAGGACAAGCUCACUCAGCGCAGCUUGUUAAUACCCAGGGCCUGUGCAUGCCAGGCAAGGCCAAGCUGACUCAAAGAGCAACCAGCCACCUCUGCAAGGGUGUGCCUGGAGCAGGUAGACCAGCCACCAACCUCACCCACUCAAGGAAGCA